CGCUCUAGUGCCGAUGCACCACGAUAGGCGCAGGAUGUACGCACAAUGUGCACGUCCUAUCGCACGGCAUGGAGGACAGGCCUGCACAGACAUCUUCUCAUGUGCAAGCAAGACCCGUCCGCACGUGGAAAGGCAAGUGCCGCACAUUGUGUGCGCACGAUUCGUGAGCGGAUAGGCUUGCGCACAGUGCCCCAACAUGCUUAGGCACUGCGCACACACAAGUCAACUCCUGCACACGGCAGGGUAGCCCGACGCCUAUAGGCUAGGCUUACUGCGUGCACU
rnacentral:lncRNA from 1 species